AUCUAGUUGUCGAGUCCCAAAUAAGACAAAAUGCGAGUCCUGGAU
rnacentral:hammerhead_ribozyme from 1 species